UACGUAGGGUCCAAGCGUUGUUCGGAAUCAUUGGGCGUAAAGCGCGUGUAGGCGGCUUGGCAAGUCAGUUGUGAAAGCCCGGGGCCCAACCCCGGAACUGCAUCUGAAACUGCCUGGCUAGAGUCCCGGAGAGGAAGGCAGAAUUCCCGGUGUAGGGGUGAAAGUCCGUAGAUAUCGGGAGGAAUACCAGCGGCGAAGGCGGCCUUCUGGGACGGUGACUGACGCUGAGACGCGAAAGCGUGGGGAGCGAACAGGG
rnacentral:rRNA from 1 species